GAUGAACGCUAGCUACAGGCUUAACACAUGCAAGUCGCGGGGCAGCAUGGGGGUUGCUUGCAAUCCCUGAUGGCGACCGGCGCACGGGUGAGUAACGCGUAUCCAACCUGCCCUUCACCACGGGAUAACCCGGCGAAAGUCGGACUAAUACCGUAUGUUGUCCAUUGACGGCAUCCGAUUUGGACGAAAGGCUUAGCGGUGAGGGAUGGGGAUGCGUCCGAUUAGCUUGACGGCGGGGUAACGGCCCACCGUGGCAACGAUCGGUAGGGGUUCUGAGAGGAAGGUCCCCCACACUGGAACUGAGACACGGUCCAGACUCCUACGGGAGGCAGCAGUGAGGAAUAUUGGUCAAUGGGCGGAAGCCUGAACCAGCCAAGUAGCGUGCAGGAUGACGGCCCUAUGGGUUGUAAACUGCUUUUAUGCGGGGAUAAAUGAGCCCACG
rnacentral:rRNA from 1 species